rnacentral:rRNA from 1 species
GUACCUACGGGGGGCAGCAGUGGGGAAUCUUCCGCAAUGGGCGAAAGCCUGACGGAGCAACGCCGCGUGAUCGAAUGAAGGCCUUCGGGUUGUAAAGAUCUGUUGACAGGGACGAAUAAGCAAUGCGAAUAGUUUUGUGUAUGACGGUACCUGUUUAGAAAGCUCCGGCUAACUACGUGCCAGCAGCCGCGGUAAUACGUAGGGAGCAAGCGUUGUCCGGAAUUACUGGGCGUAAAGCGCUCGUAGGCGGUAUGUCAAGUCAAGGGUGAAAUCCCCGCGCUCAACGUGGGAACUGCCUUUGAAAC